UCUGUCUGUCAAGUGCUAGUCCCCUCCCCCGGCCCCUCCAAAAAAGCUAAUUAGCCCCAGUGGCCUUUUGGCCAAUCAGAGAUGGCACAAUCAUGAUGUCAUCAAAAAAAGUGCCAACUCACUUUUACGGCGUUAUUGUUGGCCUGGCAGACAAUGGAAAGCCGAGUAACGAGGUGUCCAAACAUUUUAUGUUGGCACAAAGGGCUCUAGCAAGACCAUUUGUCGUCAUUAGUGAGGGAAUUACAACACCUAGGCGACAUGUCUUUCCUGUGCCGCUGAAAUGUUUGCGACCACUCGUGAUGGCUGCUGUUUUGUUUUUUUUGUUUUUUUCUCAUGAGUGGCUCCACGCGUAUUCUUGUCGUAACGGAACAGGCCAGCCUUCAAAUUAUGGCCUGUCAUAGGUCAACCUUUUUGACUUUCACCAAACAAAUAGCAUGCUAGCUACACAGUAGCGGCUGCGUGUAAGGGUGUUUGCGAUAAAACAAAUAACCCUGAGUUAAAAACCCAAAAUUCCGUCACGUUUCACCAGGUUACACGUGGGGCUGUGAUGCCUUUGUCAGCAAGGAUAAAAGAAGAAAACCAGAAAGUGUUUGAAAUGUUGACAUCUCGGGUGGAAAAUCAGCGCCUUCCUUCCUGACCAAUGACGAGCACACGAUGGGAAAAAGGAAAGUGGAAACGUUCGGUGGAUUUACCCGAGCAGGAGCACUGAGGUAUGUGUCCGCUCUGCAUGAGAAAAGAAACUUUUUUUUUUUUUUAAACUUCAGUAGUUUAGUGGAAAUGGUUUUAUAAUACAUUUGGUUGGAGCGCAAUGUCCACAAUAAUUUGGAAAAUAUGCGAUAUGGACUUAAGUAAACAUGUCGCCAAGUACUACUUUUGAUUAAAUGAAUCUCCUCCAUCAGCUCCAACACAGUUCCUUGCCAACAAGGUGGUGAAACACCAAUAUUCUAAAUGAAGCCCCUCAACUCACUGCAGCAUAGUUCCUUGGCACCAAGAUCCCGUUAAGAUUUGGAAAAAAAUAACUUACUGUGUUGUUUGAAUCUAAAAGACCGAAAUCUUGUUUGUGUGCCACCAAAGGUUCGAAUGGAGAUGAGCUAUGCUGUUGGAAAUCUGUGUGUGAGAAUUUUCUUGAAAAAGUGAAAACGCUGACAUUCCCGGCAAGCCUCCUUGAUGUCACCUAUGUCCUUGGGGGAGAUAAAUAGAGAUCCAAGGCCUAUUUUUAAACCAUAUAAAGAGAACAAAAAGUGUUAUUUAAUGGCAGUGUUGCCACGGUGACCAGGUUCAGAAAUGUUCUUCCCUCGUGGGUUAAUAACAUACCACAAAAGGGAAACACUAAGAACUCGAGUGGACCACCUCCAUCUUUAAGUCUUCUGGCCGGGCUGUUUACGGCUUAGGUGAUUCUGUACUCAACUGAUAUCGAGUAACGAUAUCUCUCGUACUUUGGAUAUAUAUGUAUAAAUACAUACAAAGAACAUUUUAACACAAUGUAUAAAGACCUUUGUUUCUGAUGCAGAUGAUUGGGAGUGGGUGGGAUGUUUCAAUGUCAUUAUCUUUGUCUUCUACUGUAUUGUGUUGAUGUAUAAAAAAAAAAAACCUGCAAAAAAAU